rnacentral:rRNA from 1 species
UGCGCAGGCGGUUCGCAAAGUCUGAUGUGAAAGCCCCGGGCUCAACCUGGGAACUGCAUUGGAAACUAACGGGCUCGAGUGUGGCAGAGGGGGUGGAAUUCCACGUGUAGCAGUGAAAUGCGUAGAGAUGUGGAGGAACACCGAUGGCGAAGGCAGCCCCCUGGGCUAACACUGACGCUCAGGCACGAAAGCGUGGGAGCAAACA